rnacentral:rRNA from 1 species
AUUGAACGCUGGCGGCAUGCCUUACACAUGCAAGUCGAACGGUAACGGGCCUUCGGGUGCCGACGAGUGGCGAACGGGUGAGUAAUGUAUCGGAACGUACCUUUCAGUGGGGGAUAACGUAGCGAAAGUUACGCUAAUACCGCAUAUUCUGUGAGCAGGAAAGCAGGGGAUCGCAAGACCUUGCGCUGAUUGAGCGGCCGAUAUCAGAUUAGCUAGUUGGUGAGGUAAAGGCUCACCAAGGCGACGAUCUGUAGCGGGUCUGAGAGGAUGACCCGCCACACUGGAACUGAGACACGGUCCAGACUCCUACGGGAGGCAGCAGUGGGGAAUUUUGGACAAUGGGGGCAACCCUGAUCCAGCCAUGCCGCGUGAGUGAAGAAGGCCUUCGGGUUGUAAAGCUCUUUCGGCCGGGAAGAAAUCGUAUCAGCUAAUACCUGGUGCGGAUGACGGUACCGGCAUAAGAAGCACCGGCUAACUACGUGCCAGCCGCCGCUGUAAGAC